GACGAACGCUGGCGGCGUGCUUAACACAUGCAAGUCGAACGGAAAGGCCCUGCUUUUGUGGGGUGCUCGAGUGGCGAACGGGUGAGUAACACGUGAGUAACCUGCCCUUGACUUUGGGAUAACUUCAGGAAACUGGGGCUAAUACCGGAUAGGAGCUCCUGCUGCAUGGUGGGGGUUGGAAAGUUUCGGCGGUUGGGGAUGGACUUGCGGCUUAUCAGCUUGUUGGUGGGGUAGUGGCUUACCAAGGCUUUGACGGGUAGCCGGCCUGAGAGGGUGACCGGCCACAUUGGGACUGAGAUACGGCCCAGACUCCUACCGGAGGCAGCAGUGGGGAAUAUUGCACAAUGGGCGGAAGCCUGAUGCAGCAACGCCGCGUGCGGGAUGACGGCCUUCGGGUUGUAAACCGCUUUCGCCUGUGACGAAGCGUGAGUGACGGUAAUGGGUAAAGAAGCACCGGCUAACUACGUG
rnacentral:rRNA from 1 species